rnacentral:rRNA from 1 species
AACGAACGCUGGCGGCAGGCCUAACACAUGCAAGUCGAACGCCCUAGCAAUAGGGAGUGGCAGACGGGUGAGUAACACGUGGGAACCUUCCCUAUAGUACGGAAUAUACCAGGGAAACUUGGAGCAAUACCGUAUACGCCCGAGAGGGGAAAGAUUUAUCGCUAUAGGAUGGGCCCGCGUAGGAUUAGCUAGUUGGUGAGGUAAUGGCUCACCAAGGCGACGAUCCUUAGCUGGUUUGAGAGAACGACCAGCCACACUGGGACUGAGACACGGCCCAGACUCCUACGGGAGGCAGCAGUGGGGAAUAUUGGACAAUGGGCGGCAAGCCUGAUCCAGCCAUGCCGCGUGAGUGAUGAAGGCCUUAGGGUUGUAAAGCUCUUUUGUCCGGGGACGAUAAUGACGGUACCCGGAGAAUAAGUCCCGGCUAACUU